CAGGGCCAUAAAAACACACCUUCACAACAUGAUGAUUAAAACAGGCAAUUAUGGUCUCCUUAAGAAACCAGCACAGAAAAACCCAUCAGCGAUACUUUGACCUUUAUUAUAGCGAAAGAUGAUGACAUGAGACAUUACAAUAACCCAUCACCGAACAGUCAUUCAGGUAGGUAAACAGUCAUUCAGGUACGUAAACAGUCAUUCAGGUACGUAAACAGUCAUUCAGGUAUGUAAGAUGGACUAUAGCCUUCUAAACUUUAGCUACAGUAUUGUGUCCAAUAAUAAACAAACAAGAUUCAAUGACUUCUCAAGCCGUGAUGCAGUAUAAUUGUAGUACAGAUAUCUGAUCUUAUUUUAAUGUUUCUCUUGCGAAACAACAAUAUAAAGCACUAAGUCAGUUUUAAUGUCGUUGUGAAACCCUGCCCGGUGAAAUACGUCUGGAGGGCUCUAACUAACUACAGUGCUUUAUGUGCUCGGCUCUCAGCCAAGUUAUUUAAUAACCUUUUUCUUGUGGAGACCGGCGAUAUGUCCCCACUUGUCCAAACGUUCCUUGUUUUUACUGCCCUUGUGGAUCAACUGAAGGGCUAGGUUAGGGUUAAGGUUAGGGUUAGGGGUUAAGGGUUAAGGUUAGGGUUAAGGGUUAAGGUUAGGGUUAGGUUUAGGGGAUAAGGUUAGGGGUUAAGGUUAGGGGUUAAGUUUAGGGUUAGGGGUUAAGGUUAAGUUUAGGGGUUAAGUUUAGGGUUAGGUUUAGGGUUAGGGGUUAAGGUUAGGGUUAGGGGUUAGGUUAAGGGUUAGGUUAAGGGUUUAAGGUUAGGGUUAGGGGUUAAGGUUAGGUUAAGGAUUAGGGGUUAAGGUUAGGGUUAAGGUUAGGAGUUAAGGUUAGGGUUAGGUUUAGGGUUAGGGGUUAGGGUUAGGUGUUAAGGUUAGGUUUAGGAUUAGGGGUUCAGGUUAGGUUAGGUUUAGGGUUAGGGUUUAAGGUAACGGGUUAAGGUUAGGGUUAGGGGUUAAGGGAUAGGUUAAAGAGCUAUGGAAAAUAAGGAUUUUGAAUGGUAAUUGUUAAGGAUAGUAUGUGUCCUUGUGGGCAUCAAAAAAGUAUUCAGACCCCUUGACUUCUUCUACAUUUUGUUACGUUACGGUCUUAUUCUAAAAUGGAUUCAAUUGUUUGUUUUCCC
ensembl:lncRNA